rnacentral:rRNA from 1 species
UACGUAGGGGGCAAGCGUUGUCCGGAUUUAUUGGGCGUAAAGAGCUCGUAGGCGGCUCGGUAAGUCGGAUGUGAAACCUCCAGGCUCAACCUGGAGACGCCAUCUGAUACUGCCGUGGCUUGAGUCCGGUAGAGGAGCAGGGAAUUCCUGGUGUAGCGGUGAAAUGCGUAGAUAUCGAGAGGAACACCUGCGGCGAAGGCGGGUAGCUGGGCCGACACUGACGCUGAGGCGCGAAAGCCAGGGGAGCGAACGGG